rnacentral:misc_RNA from 1 species
UGCAAUGGGCAGUCACUUUUGUGGGACUUGAGGAGGCCCAUAAAAGCUUCAAUGGCUGCUGUUUCUGAACAUUUGGCUGGUUUACUUCCCCUUCAUAUUGCCUAUAGCCAUGCCCAUGAAACUGCAAUUGAGGACUGGAUAUGGUCUGUCGGAUGCAAUCCUUUUUCCAUAACUUCCCAGGGCUGGCACAUAUCACAGUUUCAGUCAGAUACAAUUGGUCGGAGUUAUAUAAUCACGACUCUUGAAGAGUCGAUACAACUGGUCAAUUCUGCCACUCAUCGUCUACUAAUGGAGCGUACAUCUGAAAGAGCCUGAAGGUCUUCUCAGAU